rnacentral:rRNA from 1 species
AUUGAACGCUGGCGGCAGGCCUAACACAUGCAAGUCGAACGAGUGGCGGACGGGUGAGUAAUGUCUGGGAAACUGCCUGAUGGAGGGGGAUAACUACUGGAAACGGUAGCUAAUACCGCAUACCAUCGGAUGUGCCCAGAUGGGAUUAGCUAGUAGGUGGGGUAAAGGCUCACCUAGGCGACGAUCCCUAGCUGGUCUGAGAGGAUGACAAUCCACACUGGAACUGAGAGACGGUCCAGACGGCUACGGGAGGCAGCAGUGGGGAAUAGUGCACAAUGGGCGCAAGCCUGAUGCAGCAAUGCGGCGUGUAUGAAGAAGGCCUUCGGGUUGGAAAGUACUGUCAGCGGGGAGGCGUUAACCGCAGAAUAAGCACCGGCUAACUCCGUGCCAGCAGCCGCGGUAAUAC